AUACGUAGGUGGCAAGCGUUAUCCGGAAUUAUUGGGCGUAAAGAGUGAGCAGGCGGUUAAUUAAGUCUGGGGUUAAAGCGUGGGGCUCAACCCCAUAAAGCCUUGGAAACUGAUUGACUAGAGUACGGGAGAAGUGAAGGGAACUCCAUGUGUAGCGGUGAAAUGCGUAGAUAUAUGGAAGAACACCAGUGGCGAAGGCGCUUCACUAGCCCGAAACUGACGCUCAGUCACGAAAGCGUGGGUAGCAAAUAGGAUUAGAUACCCUAGUAGUCCACGCUGUAAACGAUGACAACUAAAUAUUGCCGCGAGGCAGUGUUGAAGCUAACGCAUUAAGUUGUCCGCCUGGGGAGUACGGUCGCAAGACUGAAACUUAAAGGAAUUGACGGGG
rnacentral:rRNA from 1 species